CAACCAAUGCCGCCAGUGUUUAUCAAGUUCAUCAUACAACCAGGAAAUACUGUUCUCUUCAGGCACAAAUGGUGAAAGGAAUCAAAAAUUAAAAUACGUUGAAAACUUGCGAUUCUGAUCUUCUUUCUAUCUACUUGAAUCCCAUACAGCAUAGAAUAUUUAUAUCAUGAGCAGGUAAAUCUCCGGUCCACAAAAUAUAAUCAAUGUCCUGGAAAUUUUUUAAAUGAUAAAGAGA